GUAGGUGAACCUGCGGAAGGAUCAUUAUCGAGCAAGAAGGGGUAAAGACUGCCUCUGGCCGAUAGCAUGUGCACGCUUCAACCUUUUCUAUUACACACCCGUGCACCUUUUGUGGGUCCUCGAAAGAGGAUCUAUGUAUUUCAUCAUCACACCUAUCGUAUGUCUAGAAUGUCAUACGUCGACCACUGGGCGGCGAAAUUAAUAAUACAACUUUCAGCAACGGAUCUCUUGGCUCUCGCAUCGAUGAAGAACGCAGCGAAUUGCGAUAAGUAAUGUGAAUUGCAGAUUUUCAGUGAAUCAUCGAAUCUUUGAACGCACCUUGCGCUCCUUGGUAUUCCGAGGAGCAUGCCUGUUUCGAGUGUCAUUACAUUCUCAACCAUGACUUUGUUGACAUGGCUUGGAGUUGGAGGUUGCUGGCUUGUUUGUCAGCUCUCCUGAAAUACAUUAGCCGUGGACAAGCAAGGCCUUCCCACGUGAUAAUGAUCGUCUGUGGGGACGGAGCAUCAACGUCUGUACUGACGUCUGAGAAUCCCAGCAUGCCUUAGCUAGACCAUCAUAUCGAAAGCUUGACCUCGAAUCAGGUAGAGA
rnacentral:rRNA from 1 species